GACGAACGCUGGCGGCGUGCUUAACACAUGCAAGUCGAACGAUGAAGCCUUAGCUUGCUUUGGUGGAUUAGUGGCGAACGGGUGAGUAACACGUGAGCAACGUGCCCAGGACUCUGGAAUAACCGCGGGAAACCGUGGCUAAUACCGGAUAGGUGCCGAGGCCGCAUGGUCUUCGGUUGGAAAGUUUUUGCGGUUCUGGAUCGGCUCACGGCCUAUCAGCUUGUUGGUGGGGUAAUGGCCUACCAAGGCGACGACGGGUAGCCGGCCUGAAAGGGUGACCGGCCACACUGGGACUGAGACACGGCCCAGACUCCUACGGGAGGCAGCAGUGGGGAAUAUUGCACAAUGGGCGCAAGCCUGAUGCAGCAACGCCGCGUGGGGGAUGACGGCCUUCGGGUUGUAAACCUCUUUUAGUAGGGAAGAAGCGCAAGUGACGGUGCCUGCAGAAAAAGCACCGGCUAACUACGUG
rnacentral:rRNA from 1 species